UACGGGGGGAGCAAGCGUUGUUCGGAUUUACUGGGCGUAAAGGGCGCGUAGGCGGCCACCGCAAGUCGACUGUGAAAUCUCCGGGCUUAACUCGGAAAGGUCAACUGAUACUGUGCGGCUAGAGUGCAGAAGGGGCAACUGGAAUCUUGGUGUAGCGGUGAAAUGCGUAGAUAUCAAGAGGAACACCUGCGGCGAAGGCGGGUUGCUGGGCUGACACUGACGCUGAGGCGCGAAAGCUAGGGAGCGAACGGG
rnacentral:rRNA from 1 species